UCCCGGUGGCCGUCACCCCCCUGCUUCCUCUUCCUGCAGGAAACCGGCUUGCUCUUCCCCUCGCUAAAAGCUGCUCACCGGCCCCAGGAACUGAGCACUUGACUUAGUCCCGGGCCCUCGGGUGCACUCGGUUCAGUACUGAUCUCUCACUUCUGCUCUGCUGUCCACACUCCUGUGUGACGUCCCUUAGGACAGGAACCGGGCUGUAACUUCUGUACGGUUCCUUUGCGCUUCGCUCAGCCUACGCGGACACUUCCGGCACUUUGAUUGCUGGGUAGGAGAUGCGUCCUGGCUUCUUUCUGGCACCAGCACGUGACUUGUCUAUUUUAUUCUUACAAAUAUCUCUUUGUUUAACACCCGAAGGCGACUGCUUAGGCUUGUGUUCCUCACUGAGCGGACCUUGUGAAUGAGGGGAAGCGGCUUUAUGACUUCCCGUCUACCUCGGCUGGGUCAGGGCGCUUUCACAGCUGCCAUUGUUGUCUUUGGAGCAGAGCGGAUCGUGACUCAGAGCCAGAGGGCGCGAGCCUUUCCUCUGUUCCGCGGGAAGAAAGGUACUUUUGUGCCGCCCGCACACGGCAGCCCCCCCGCCAGAUGAGACAGCGCUCCGCCGCUUCUGUACGCGAGACGGGCUGCCGGGGAUUUGUUUUAAUUUAGAAGUUUCCGUUGAUAACUGAGAUUUGGUAGAUACCAUUUCCCCACUUAGAAUACCGCACCUUUGAAAGGAAAUCCUCGAAACACUCGGGCGGUUCAACCGAAGACUUGUCUGCACGUCUUUUUCCAGCCUUCCUGUUCAAUAGAAAGGACAGUGACUUCCGGUGGUCACAUGGCUGGCCUCGGCAUAAGGAUCCACAGACUGUCACCCUGCCUUGGCCCCCGCUUCUUUUCCUCUUACUCCGAAGGUUAUGGUUGGUGCAUUACUUUGGGUAAAAGCUUUGUUGUUAAGCCCUACUGUCCUGUUUCUCAAGUUAUAUUGGUACCGAGAAAUUUGCCCAUUUAUAAUGUGAAUUGUUGUGGCAUUAUCAUGUAAAAAGAAAUCACAAGCCAAAAAAUAAAGGCUUUAAAAUGCAGCCAGUAUUAAACUCCUAACUCCCGGGGCUUA